rnacentral:rRNA from 1 species
UACGUAGGGUGCAAGCGUUAUCCGGAAUUAUUGGGCGUAAAGAGCUCGUAGGCGGUUUGUCGCGUCUGCUGUGAAAACUGGAGGCUCAACCUCCAGCCUGCAGUGGGUACGGGCAGACUAGAGUCCGGAAGAGGAGAGUGGAAUUCCUGGUGUAGCGGUGAAAUGCGCAGAUAUCAGGAAGAACACCCGUGGCUAAGGCGGCUCUCUAGUACGGGUACUGGACGCUGAGACGCGAAAGCGUGGGGAGCGAACAGG